AGAAAACAAACUUCCGUAAGGUGGCGCUUUGAUAUAACAUUAUGCAAAAUUGGAUAACUGGGACAAUAUGGUAGGGAGGAGUAACGUUGUAGCUGAAGAUGUCAAAUUUACUCAUAGAUGACAAUGUCACGAUGCAUUUCAUUCUAAUAAGUGAUGGGGGAGUUGUGGUUUUGGUUUAUUGAGUCUGGAAAAAAACACAUGGUCAUGGCAUUUUAAUCACCAAACAUGUUCUUACGUAAGGACCUUUUGUCACUGGAGGUAGAUAGUUCCGAAGGCAUGAGGAAACAAUGCAACAGAAAGCGUUAUUUUAUGAAAACAACUUCCGUCCAGCCAAAGGAAGAACUUAAGUGCGCACAAAACAAAUAUCCGGCUGGGUGAUAGAAGUAUAGCGAAAUGUUCGUUUAUUAUCCGAAGAACAUUGUCAACAACAUCUGCCGUUUUUUCUUAGAAAAGGCCUCGCUCAACCAGACCUCCAUAGCAAGGGCUGCUCACUGGUAAAUUAUGCCUUCGUACAAAGAUCACAAUCACGUGGUCAAAACUAGCUGCGUUAGCUUCCAGUCCCUUAGAUGAUGGCGUUGAAUCCGACGAGGAAUUUGAAGAAGUUUCACUCAAAUCUCUAUGUGGACUCACACUUGCAUUGCUAUUGUCACUAUCCGGGCUCCUGUAAUUGUUUAUC